rnacentral:rRNA from 1 species
GGUUGCGGCCAUAUCUAGUAGAAAACACCGUUUCUCGUCCGAUCAACUGUAGUUAAGCUGCUAAGAGCGAGACCGAGUAGUGUAGUGGGAGACCAUACGCGAAACUCUCGUGCUGCAAUCU